rnacentral:rRNA from 1 species
UACGGAGGAGGCAAGCGUUAUCCGGAAUUAUUGGGCGUAAAGCGUCCGUAGGUGGCUAGUCAAGUCUGCGGUCAAAGACUGGGGCUCAACCUCGGAAUUGCCUUCGAUACUGUCUGUCUUGAGUCCGGGAGAGGUGAGUGGAAUUCCUAGUGUAGAGGUGAAAUUCGUAGAUAUUAGGAAGAACACCAGUGGCGAAGGCGGCUCACUGGUCCGGUACUGACGCUGAGGUGCGAAAGCGUGGGGAGCAAACAGG